rnacentral:rRNA from 1 species
UACAGAGGGUGCGAGCGUUAAUCGGAAUUACUGGGCGUAAAGCGUGCGUAGACGGUUUCGUAAGUCGGGCGUGAAAUCCCACGGCUCAACCGUGGAAGUGCACCCGAAACUGCGUAGCUAGAGUCCUGGAGAGGAAGGUGGAAUGCUUGGUGUAGAGGUGAAAUUCGUAGAUAUCAAGCGGAACACCGGUGGCGAAGGCGGCCUUCUGGACAGUGACUGACGCUGAGACGCGAAAGCGUGGGGAGCAAACAGG